GUGUGCCUUGAGGCGUGGCUUCCGGAGCUAACGCGUUAAGUCGACCGCCUGGGGAGUACGGCCGCAAGGUUAAAACUCAAAUGAAUUGACGGGGGCCCGCACAAGCGGUGGAGCAUGUGGUUUAAUUCGAUGCAACGCGAAGAACCUUACCUACUCUUGACAUCCAGAGAAUUCGCUAGAGAUAGCUUAGUGCCUUCGGGAACUCUGAGACAGGUGCUGCAUGGCUGUCGUCAGCUCGUGUUGUGAAAUGUUGGGUUAAGUCCCGCAACGAGCGCAACCCUUAUCCUUUGUUGCCAGCACGUAAUGGUGGGAACUCAAAGGAGACUGCCGGUGAUAAACCGGAGGAAGGUGGGGAUGACGUCAAGUCAUCAUGGCCCUUACGAGUAGGGCUACACACGUGCUACAAUGGCGUAUACAAAGAGAAGCGAACUCGCGAGAGCCAGCGGACCUCAUAAAGUACGUCGUAGUCCGGAUCGGAGUCUGCAACUCGACUCCGUGAAGUCGGAAUCGCUAGUAAUCGUAGAUCAGAAUGCUACGGUGAAUACGUUCCCGGGCCUUGCACCCCCGGCCCGUCAAAA
rnacentral:rRNA from 1 species